GACGAACGCUGGCGGCGUGCUUAACACAUGCAAGUCGAACGGAAAGGCCCUGCUCUUGCGGGGUGCUCGUUAGGCGAACGGGUGAGUAACACGCGAGUAACCCGCCCUUGACCUUGUGAUAACUUCUGGAAACUGGGGCUAAAACCGGAUAGGAUCUUCUGCUCCACGGUGGGGGAUGGUAAGUUUCGGCGGUUGGGGAUGUACUCGAGGCUUAUCAGCUUGUUGGUGAGGUAGUGGCUUACCAAGGCUUUGAAGGGUAGCCGGCCUGAGAGGGUGACCGGCCACAUUGGGACUGAGGUACGGAGCAGACUCCUACGGGAGGCAGCAGUGGGGAAUAUUGCGCAAUGAGCGGAAGCCUGAUGCAACAACGCCGCGUGCGGGAUGCCGGCCUUCGGGUUGUAAACCGCUUUCGCCUGUGACGAAGCGUGAGUGACGGUAAUGGGUAAGAAAGCACCGGCUAACUACGUG
rnacentral:rRNA from 1 species